UCUGAACUUCAUACUUAAAUUACUCCGUUUCAUCACAAAAUCAUAUAUACUAAUAGAAAUUUUCAUUCCACCUACCAGUUAAUUGUUACUCAAAGUCGAUGUUGGACAAAUAACUAAACACAUAGCUAACAAUAUCCUAACACAUUACGAAAAACAGACAACAUAAACAGCAAGUAUAUAACAUCAUAACUCCUAUACUUCCUUGCUACCUCCAUCUCCCUGAGAUGACACGGGAGCCAGAUUGGCAAGAGCCUCCUUGAAUUCCUUCAAUUUGUUGUAGCAGGACUUUUGAGCAACUUCCAAAGAUUGUGCAGUUUCUAGAUAGGAAGAGAGUCGCUUAUUCGAGUCUUUGAAAUCCUUCCUAACCUCAUUCAUAUGCUUUUUGCGUUUCUCUUGUAGCUUUUGACUUUCCACAAUUAUAUAGACCGAUCCGGCUAUAGCUACCAGCGGACAAAGAUUCCAUAGGUACGAGUACGACUAGAAGAAUUUGAGAAAAUAAAACACAAAUAAAUAGAUACCAAUCU
rnacentral:lncRNA from 1 species